UACGUAGGGUGCAAGCGUUAAUCGGAAUUACUGGGCGUAAAGCGUGCGCAGGCGGUUCCGCAAGUCAGAUGUGAAAUCCCCGGGCUCAACCUGGGAACUGCAUUUGAAACUACGGGGCUAGAGUGUGUCAGAGGGGGGUGGAAUUCCACGUGUAGCAGUGAAAUGCGUAGAGAUGCGGAGGAACACCGAUGGCGAAGGCAGCCCCCUGGGCUAACACUGACGCUCAGGCACGAAAGCGUGGGGAGCAAACAGG
rnacentral:rRNA from 1 species